AGUGAACGCUGGCGGUAGGCCUAACACAUGCAAGUCGAACGGCAGCACAGUAAGAGCUUGCUCUUACGGGUGGCGAGUGGCGGACGGGUGAGGAAUACAUCGGAAUCUACUUUUUCGUGGGGGAUAACGUAGGGAAACUUACGCUAAUACCGCAUACGACCUACGGGUGAAAGCAGGGGAUCUUCGGACCUUGCGCGAUUGAAUGAGCCGAUGUCGGAUUAGCUAGUUGGCGGGGUAAAGGCCCACCAAGGCGACGAUCCGUAGCUGGUCUGAGAGGAUGAUCAGCCACACUGGAACUGAGACACGGUCCAGACUCCUACGGGAGGCAGCAGUGGGGAAUAUUGGACAAUGGGCGCAAGCCCGAUCCAGCCAUACCGCGUGGGUGAAGAAGGCCUUCGGGCUGUAAAGCCCUUUUGUUGGGAAAGAAAAGCAGCAGGUUAAUACCCCGCUGUUCUGACGGUACCCAAAGAAUAAGCACCGGCUAACUUCGUG
rnacentral:rRNA from 1 species